ACCAGUGGUUUUGGUUUCAGUAUCGUCCUGGGGACCAAGGCAUGUGGAGAGCUGGCACCUUGGUGGAUCCUGCUUUUGUUCUCUAUAGCAUUUCAGAGUCCACAUAUGGAUGCCAAGAAUGUGGCCGAAUAUCUGUCAUUCAGUGGACCACAUUCUGACCUCUCCACCAUGACCUGUCUGUCUUGCGUGGCCCCACACGGCAUGGCAGGAGCAGCAGCUGUGUGAUGACAUGGGAGCGGCCGAGAGGAGCUACCCCAUGUCCAAGGUCAGGGGCAGUGGCGGAGAGGAGCUAUCCCAAGUGCAAGUGGCUUUCAAACUUUGACAUUCAUCUAAACCAGCAGAAAACUUGUUAAAACCUAUUGGCAGCAUUAUUAGAGCUUCUGAUUCAUUAGAUCUGAGGACCAGUGAAAAGAAGCUAAGAGGGUCAAAGAGAAAAUUUCCUCCCCAUCUGACCCAAGCUGAUACUUCUAUUAUGGUCCUGCAGGGCAUGGCAUUCUUCUUUUGGAAACUACUAUAGAAAUGAUGUUGGACAAAAAGCAAAUUUGAGCAUUUUUUUUAAUUUGGAUUUGAAAUGGGUCGUAAAGUAGUAGAGAAGACAUGCAACAUCAACAACAUAUUUGACCCAAGACCUGCUAACAAACAUACAGUGCAGUCGUGGUUCAAGAAGUUUUGCAAAGGAGAUGACAGCCUUAAAGAUGAGGACUGCAGUGGCAAGCCAUCGGAAGUUGACACCAACCAACUGAAAGGAUCAUCAAAGCUGAUCCUCUAACAACUACAUGAGAGGUUGCUGAGGAAUUAAACGUUGACUAUUCAAUGGUUGCUCAGCAUAUUGAAAAAACUGAAAAGGUGAAAAAGCUUGAUAAGCUUCAUGAGCAGCCCAAAAAAACCAAAAGAAAAUCAUAAUUUUGAAGUGUUGUCUUCUCUUACUCUACACAGCAACAGCCAACCGAUUCUUGAUCAGAGUGUGACAAUAUGACAGAGGAUCUUCCCAAUUCAGGGAUCAAACCCAGGUCUCCCGCAUUGUAGGCAGACUCUUUACCAUUUGAGCUUCCAGGGAACCAGCACUUAUCAACACCAAACUUGCACCAAAAAACAGUUAUUGUCACUCUUUGGUUGUCUGUUGCCCAUCUGAUCCACUGUAUCCAGAGAUAAAGCUUUCUGACUCUCAAUGAGAUCAUUACAUCUGAGACGUAUGCUCAGCAAAUUGUUGAGAUACACUGAAAACUGUCACGCCUGCAGCCACUGGUCAACGGAAUGGGCCCAGUUCUCCAUGACACCCAACUGCACAUCAUACAAACAGUGCUUCAAAAAUUGAAUGAAUUGGGUUAUGUUUUGUCUCAUCUGCUAUAUUCACCUGACCUCUUGCCAACCGACUACCACAUCUU